rnacentral:tRNA from 6 species
UCCGUGAUGGUCUAACGGUCAUGAUUUCCGCUUGUCAUUGUUCGAUAACAAGCGCGGGAGACCGGGGUUCGACUCCCCGUCGCGGAG